GAUGAACGCUGACAGAAUGCUUAACACAUGCAAGUCUUUGGCGAAGCUGUGCUUGCACAGCCUAGCCAAGGCGGACGGGUGAGUAACGCGUAAGGAACUUGCCCUGCAGUCAGGGAUAACAGACGGAAACGACUGAUAAGACCUGGUAAAAUCAGGCGGACUCAUGUCCAGCCUGAUGAAAAGAGAUGCUGCAGGAGAGCCUUGCGUCCUAUUAGCUUGUUGGUGGGGUAACGGCCCACCAAGGCGAUGAUAGGUAGCCGGCCUGAGAGGGUGGACGGCCACAAGGGGACUGGGAUACGGCCCUUACUCCUACGGGAGGCAGCAGUGGGGAAUAUUGGACAAUGGGGGCAACCCUGAUCCAGCAAUUCUGUGUGCACGAUGAAGGUUUUCGGAUUGUAAAGUGCUUUCAGCAGGGAAGAAAAAAAUGACGGUACCUGCAGAAGAAGCGACGGCUAAAUACGUG
rnacentral:rRNA from 1 species